rnacentral:lncRNA from 1 species
UAUGAAAGAGAAGACCUGGGCUGGAGUGAUGACUCAGCAGUUAAGCUCAUUUGCUGUUCUGGCAUCUCCACCGUUAUUACUAUUACCACCGCCAACAUCACAUCUCCACCAUUUCUGCUUCAUCUUCACCUCCACCUCCACCACCACCACCGACCUCCCUACCACUACUACUCCCCACCCCAGCAGCAGCAGCACCUCCACUAGCCAGCUACUGCCUCGAACUGUGAGUUCACCUGUAGAACGUUGUGUCUGGUCUCCCUGUGUCAAGAUAAUUCGUUACAUCCUCAGAGAGGAAAAGGAAAUGCGGGGCAGGCUCGGACACUUGAGGUGUCUGUGUAGAAAAGCUGAGCUAAUUCAGCGCUGACUUCCGGUGCGAUCCCAGCGCUCCAGACACAACGCAAGGUGGUAAGUGAUAACGGAGCAUGCGCAUCUCGACUUUGUGGAUCUCAGCUCUGCUUAGAAGAGAGUCUCUUGGAGUCUCCUUCCGGGUCGAUUGGUUCC